UACGUAGGGACCAAGCGUUGUUCGGAUUUACUGGGCGUAAAGGGCGCGUAGGCGGCAAUUCAAGUCAUCUGUGAAAUCUCCGGGCUUAACCCGGAACGGUCAGAUGAUACUGCUUUGCUAGAGUGCGGGAAGGGGCAAUCGGAAUUCUCGGUGUAGCGUGAAUGACGUAGAUAUCGAGAGGAACACCUGAGGUGAAGACGGGUUGCUGGGCCGACACUGACGCUGAGUGCGCGAAAGCCAGGGGAGCAAACGGG
rnacentral:rRNA from 1 species